AUUGAACGCUGGCGGCAGGCCUAACACAUGCAAGUCGAACGAGUGGCGGACGGGUGAGUAAUGUCUGGGAAACUGCCUAAUGGAGGGGGAUAACUACUGGAAACGGUAGCUAAUACCGCAUACCAUCGGAUGUGCCCCGAUGGGUUUAGCUAGUAGGUGGGGUAAAGGCUCACCUAGGCGACCAUCCCUAGCCGGUCUGAUAGGAUGACCAGCCACACUGGAACUGAGACACGGUCCAGACUCCUACGGGAGGCAGCAGUGGGGAAUAGUGGACAAUGGGCGAAAGCCUGAUCCAGCCAUGCCGCGUGUGUGAAGAAGGUCUUCGGAUUGUAAAGCACUUUAAGUUGGGAGGCGUUAAGAAGAGAAUAAGCACCGGCUAACUUCGUGCCAGCAGACGCGGUAAUAG
rnacentral:rRNA from 1 species